GGAAUAUUGGACAAUGGGCGCAAGCCUGAUCCAGCCAUGCCGCGUGUGUGAAGAAGGCCUUCGGGUUGUAAAGCACUUUCAGCGAGGAGGAAGGGGUUGUAGUUAAUAGCUGCAAUUUUUGACGUUACUCGCAGACGAAGCACCGGAUAACUCUGUGCCAGCAGCCGCGGUAAUACAGAGGGUGCGAGCGUUAAUCGGAAUUACUGGGCGUAAAGCGCACGUAGGUGGCGACGUAAGUCGGGUGUGAAAGCCCCGGGCUCAACCUGGGAAUUGCAUUCGAGACUGCAUUGCUGGAGUACGGAAGAGGAGGGCGGAAUUCCCGGUGUAGCGGUGAAAUGCGUAGAUAUCGGGAGGAACAUCAGUGGCGAAGGCGGCCCUCUGGUCCAGUACUGACACUCAAGUGCGAAAGCGUGGGGAGCAAAC
rnacentral:rRNA from 1 species